UCAGUUUUAUCUAUAUAUAAUCAAAUCAUAUGCUCGACUUUUGGAAUCACAGCCUCACAGAAUACAGAUACAUCUUCUACACUUGGAUCGUAAGUUUUUCAUAUUAGAGUUUUUGUUUGAUUUUAGAGAUUAAUCUGCAUGUAGCACCCCGGGCUUCUCUGAAAAUACAAAUUGGAUGAAGAAGAAAGCCCCAAUGCUCGUGCUAAAUUAGAUAUACAGCCGUCAAGUGUUGCAGUUCAGCCUGUUUGUACCUUUUUCCAUGGCCGUUUCUGUGUCAAAUCGACGGCUACAGAUAAUCAAUCAAGUUCAUAGCUUUAUCAAUUUCAUAUGUUCUGCCUCACAACACCUUAAGCCUUUUUCCUUAAUUUCUAUUGGAAAGAGGUCUAGUCAUGGAGGCAUAUAGUUAACCCUAGGCGGCGUUAACGUGGAGAUUUUAAGUAAGCCGAUGAUGAUAUAAUCCAAAUGUUGGAGGUAUAGUGGAUCCAAGACCUUGUUUUACAGGGAGAACCACUUGGUGAAGCUGUAUUUCAGAUGAUAUUACCGGAUUUAACCGAGGUGCUAUGUAUUUUUUAUGACUAAUCUUAUUGGUAUCUAGUACUCUUUGCCUUGAAAUACACAAACGGUUUGGAGUCUGAAAAAACUCAGAGAGCAAUGUGUUGUCAUCAGCUUCUUCUUUCGUAACAUUAACGAGAUUGGAAUUAAAUAACAGCACUAGAUUUUUAGAAAAAAAUGUCUACUACGAUGCUACCCACAUCGUGGGUUUUGUUUUUAUUCUUUACAUGGAAUUUGUGCGCAUAUUUGUUAUUAUGUUGAAUCAGCAAUCUGUUUAUUUUUAAAUAUGACUCUUGUUGAUCAUUAGUGGAAUUUGUUUUUAUAACAAAAAAGUGUAGCAAAAUUUGAUAAGUAGAGAACUUAAAUCAAAAUCAGUCUGCAUGACAGUGGUCUGAGAACAUUUGAUGUAGGAUACUGGAACUGGAUUGCCAUUUGUUGAUAAAUGUUCUGCCGACAAGCUUCUGUGGCCUAGUUUUUGUUACGCUACGUGGUAUAAUGGAGGAUAUAAGGUCAUGUGAGAUGCAAAAGUUCCAACAAAUUAACAUGUAUAUUGUGAUGUAGGUUGAUACAAACAGAUAUUGUGUAAAUGUGUAAUGAAAGAACAAAUGACUAAACUUGUGUUUGUUAAAACCUUAUUAAAAAGAUGGUUGUGGUGAAGAUUGUGGAAUGCCAAGAACUUGUGUUUGUUAAAAACUUUUUACUUA